GACGAACGCUGGCGGCGUGCCUAAUACAUGCAAGUAGAACGCUGAAGGAGGAGCUUGCUUCUCUGGAUGAGUUGCGAACGGGUGAGUAACGCGUAGGUAACCUGCCUGGUAGCGGGGGAUAACUAUUGGAAACGAUAGCUAAUACCGCAUAAUAGCAGUUGUUGCAUGACAACUGUUUGAAAGGUGCAAUUGCACCACUACCAGAUGGACCUGCGUUGUAUUAGCUAGUUGGUGGGGUAACGGCUCACCAAGGCGACGAUACAUAGCCGACCUGAGAGGGUGAUCGGCCACACUGGGACUGGGACACGGCCCAGACUCCUACGGGAGGCAGCAGUAGGGAAUCUUCGGCAAUGGACGGAAGUCUGACCGAGCAACGCCGCGUGAGUGAAGAGGGUUUUCGGAUCGUAAAGCUCUGUUGUAAGAGAAGAACGAGUGUGAGAGUGGAAAGUUCACACUGUGACGGUAUCUUACCAGAAAGGGACGGCUAACUACGUG
rnacentral:rRNA from 1 species